CCUGCCCAGUGGGAACACUUUCCUAAACGGCCGCGGUAUCUUGACCGUGCAAAGGUAGCAUAAUCACUUGUCUCUUAAAUGGGGACCCGUAUGAAUGGCUUUUCAUCCUUUAACUGUCUCCCUUUUUUCCCACACAAACUUCUAUUUACGUGAAGAAGCGUACCUUAGAGAGAAAGACGAGAAGACCCUGUCGAGCUUUAGCUCAUCCUACACUUACACUCAUCCUUUCCCAGGAAAGAACCUUUGUAGGCCAGGCUUUGGUUGGGGCAACCAUGGAGAAAAAGUAUCCUCCAGUUUUCUAGGUAGAGAACCACUCUCCUCCCCCAUUUUAGAGAACCAAUAUUUUUGGAAAACGGAAAAAGUUACCGCAGGGAUAACAGCGUUAUCUUUUCUAAGAGCCCUUAUUGACGAAAAGGAUUGCGACCUCGAUGUUGGAUUGGGGUAACCAAAGGGUGCAGCAGCUCUUUGAGGUUGGACUGUUCGUCCAUUAAUCCCCUACGUGAUC
rnacentral:rRNA from 1 species